rnacentral:rRNA from 1 species
AGAGUUUGAUCAUGGCUCAGAGCGAACGCUGGCGGAAUGCUUUACACAUGCAAGUCGAACGGCAGCACGGACUUCGGUCUGGUGGCGAGUGGCGAACGGGUGAGUAAUAUAUCGGAACGUAUCCAAUAAUGGGGGAUAACUAAUCGAAAGGUUGGCUAAUACCGCAUACGCCCUACGGGGGAAAGCUGGGGACCUUCGGGCCUGGCGUUAAUGGAGCGGCCGAUAUCUGAUUAGCUAGUUGGUGAGGUAAAGGCUCACCAAGGCGACGAUCAGUAGCUGGUCUGAGAGGACGACCAGCCACACUGGAACUGAGACACGGUCCAGACUCCUACGGGAGGCAGCAGUGGGGAAUUUUGGACAAUGGGCGAAAGCCUGAUCCAGCCAUUCCGCGUGAGUGAAGAAGGCCUUCGGGUUGUAAAGCUCUUUCGCAAGGGAAGAAAGAUUACUCUCUAACAUAGAGUGAUUAUGACGGUACCUUGAUAAGAAGCACCGGCUAACUACGUGCCAGCAGCCGCGGUAAUACGUAGGGUGCGAGCGUUAAUCGGAAUUACUGGGCGUAAAGCGUGCGCAGGCGGUUUUGUAAGUCAGAUGUGAAAUCCCCGAGCUCAACUUGGGAACUGCGUUUGAAACUACAAGACUAGAAUAUGUCAGAGGGGGGUAGAAUUCCACGUGUAGCAGUGAAAUGCGUAGAGAUGUGGAGGAAUACCAAUGGCGAAGGCAGCCCCCUGGGAUAAUAUUGACGCUCAUGCACGAAAGCGUGGGGAGCAAACAGGAUUAGAUACCCUGGUAGUCC